GGGCAGGUGGCGGAAUAGGCAUACGCACAGGACUUAAAAUCCUGAGAUCCAUUUGGGAUCGUAAGGGUUCAAAUCCCUUUCUGCCCA
rnacentral:tRNA from 1 species